CCUACGGGGGGCAGCAGUGGGGAAUAUUGCACAAUGGGGGAAACCCUGAUGCAGCGACGCCGCGUGAGCGAUGAAGUAUUUCGGUAUGUAAAGCUCUAUCAGCAGGGAAGAAGAUGACGGUACCUGACUAAGAAGCCCCGGCUACCGACGUGCCAGCAGACGCGGUAAUACGCAGGGGGCAAGCGUUAUCCGGAUUUACUGGGUGUAAAGGGAGCGUAGACGGAGAUGCAAGCCAGCUGGGAAAGCCCCGGGCUCAACCCCGGGACUGCAGUUGGAACUGGGGGGCUGGAGUGUAGGAGAGGCAGGCGGAAUUCCUAGUGUAGCGGUGAAAUGCGUAGAUAUUAGGAGGAACACCAGUGGCGAAGGCGGCCUGCUGGACGAUGACUGACGUUGAGGCUCGAAAGCGUGGGGAGCAAACAGGAUUAGAUACCCCUGUAGUC
rnacentral:rRNA from 1 species